rnacentral:misc_RNA from 1 species
GAAAUGCGAUAAGUAGUGUGAAUUGCAGACUUCAGUGAAUCAUCGAAUCUUUGAACGCAGAUUGCGCCCCUCGGUAUUCCGUGGGGCAUGCCUGUUCGAGCGUCAUCUACACCCUCAAGCUCUGCUUGGUGUUGGGCGUCUGUCCCGCCUCCGCGCGCGGACUCGCCCCAAAUGCAUUGGCAGCGGUUCCUUGCCCCCCUCUUUGCGCAGCACAUUGCCAUUCGAGGCGGCGGCGGCCCGCGUCCAACAAGCUCAACCCCCCCGUCUUUGACCUCGGAUCAGGUAGGGAUACCCGCUGAACUUAAGC